rnacentral:rRNA from 1 species
GGAGGCAGCAGUGGGGAAUCUUGGACAAUGGGCGAAAGCCUGAUCCAGCGACGCCGCGUGAAGGAAGGAGUCCCUCGGGAUGUAAACUUCUGAACUAGUCGAAUAAAGRGGUAGCGGACACGCUACAAGAGAAGGUAGGCUAGGAAAAGUCCCGGCUAACUACGUGCCAGCAGCCGCGGUAAGACGUAGGGGGCGAGCGUUGCCCGGAAUYACUGGGUGUAAAGGGGACGUAGGCGGUAAACCAAGUCAUAUGUGAAAACCAUUUGCUCAACGAAAGGCUUGCGUAUGAAACUGGAGAACUUGAGUGUAGCAGAGGUAGACGGAAUUACCUGAGUAGGGGUGAAAUCCGCAGAUACAGGUAAGAAGGCCGGUGGAGAAGUCGGUCUACUGGGCUACAACUGACGCUGAGGUCCGAAAGCCAGGGGAGCGAACCGGAUUAGAUACCCGGGUAGUCCUGGCCCUAAACGAUGUU